GAAGGCACUAGGGUCUUGGUGAGAAGGGGUAAUCCUCCCAGGCCUGAACCACCUGUGUUUAUGUGAAAGAGAACUUCUAACCCUUGUGACACCUGGACAUACUCUCACUAACUUCACAAGCCACAGGCUUGUUCAUUCAGCACGGAGAGGGUUCUGUAUCAAGAAUCUCCCUUUGACUUCCAGUUCAAGAUGAUGGAGUAGAAAGAUGUGUGCUUAUCUCCUUGAGAACACCAACGUUGCAACUAGCUACUGAUCAACCGUCGACAGGAGGACACUGGAACCCACCAAAAGAGGAACCUCACAUCCAAAGACAAAGCAGAAGUCCUAACAAGACACAGGCAAGAUCUUAGUUCCCCAACCAGGGAUUGAACUCCCGCCACCUGCACCAGAAGCUUGGGGUCUCAACCACUGGACCGCCGUGAAAGUCCCUCAGAUUUCUUUUUGAAUUGUAGUUCUCAGUGUUAUAAAGCCUCUUGAG
ensembl:lncRNA